UCCACUUUAAUCUCCAACUUUCUCUUGCUCUUUAUACACCAAAAACGGUUUUCUCCACAAAUCUAAAACGUUCUCUCUGCAAAAAUCGACGAAUUUAUGUUCUCUAUCCUAUACAUCAAUAAAUCUUAAAUAUUACUUCAAUGGGGAUGAGUUCAAUCGAGAACUGAUGGAAAACAUCAGCAAUUUCCUCUCUCAAUUGUUCAUAACCCAACCCAUCAUUCCUACAAAAGAAAAUCGUUCCUCUCUCCAAAACAGUUAAACCCAUCUCCCUAUUCUUCGAUUCUUCUUCUAAUUAGCCCAAAUCAAUGUACAAGUAGUGGAUCUCAAGCCCACCGGCCGGCGACAAAGGCAUGUAUGAAUAUAAAUUUGCAUAAUUUUUUUUAGAAUUCACCAUCGGCAAUGACAAGCAGGCGAGUCGAUCUACAGCGACGACAUUUGUUGGUGAGAACUUGGAAAAUUUUAAUUUAUUUCUCAUAUUAUGGACAAUUAAUUUUUUUUAAGGUGAUGAUUUCUAUAUCUUUACAGAAGUGGAAAUGCAGGGGAUUGAAGUGGAAGUCUUCUCUAUUUCACGCUCUAUCCAUCGAAAAUAGAGACGCAUAGAGACACAUUUUCCUAGGUAAAUUUGAGUUUUCAGCCCUGAUUUCUAAUUUUUUUUAUUGUAAAUGUAAAUUUCUACGAUUUAAGAUGUGUGAAUCAAUUGUUGAAGAUUGUUCAAUAUUUUGUAUUUUUUUGGAAGCUUCAGUAUUUUGUAGUGUUUUUUUUUUUUUUUAGGAACAGUAUUUUGUAGUUUUAAGUAUUCAUAUCCUCACACUUUUGACGUCGUUGGCGUUGCCGCUCCACCCAAUUUUGUCAAGCACGUUACCGAGUCACAUAACCUCGUCGCCACCACUGUAACAGUCCAGUGCCUAAAAGAGCAGUUUAACCGUCACUAUCGGCCGGAAUAACCACCCUUGCCUUUGUCUCACCGAACAACCCAGCAACCACCAUCACCUUUUCCUUUUUCUUUUUUUCCCUUUAAUUUCUUAGUUAUGCUAAAUAUAGGGCUAUGCAUGUUUGUAUAUUGGUGAAUUUUAGAGGAGUGUAUAUUGGUGAAUUUUAGAGAAGGUUUUAGAUAUAUUCUUCAACAAAUGCUAGAUUAAAUUGUUUCGUGUACAUCGCCAAUAACAUAUAACCACAUAUCUUUGUAGUUUCAUGUCAUGUUAAUCAAAUCAUUCAUUUAGACGUUUAUAGUGGUAUGAUUCUUUUUAGAUAAUCAAUCAUUAUGCCUUUGUAGAUAUUAUUUAUUUCCAAGAUUCAAUUUCUAAAGUUCAAAACCUAUUCUUUUGAAGUUGAUGCUACUAUAUAUGUGAGAAAUUGAUUUGAAGGCGGAUGAGGAGAAGAAUAUGGGGUUACUCUCAAAUUUGGCUUAUGCUUUGACAAUGGACUAUAUUUUUGCAAAGGAGCUCUUAUGGAAAUAAAGGCUGAGCAACCAAGAAAGCCUAGAGCAGAUCUGUUAGUUUCUCAAUGAUAACUGUUUAGUGCUCAACGAUUUCAACUUUAGAGAUGAGUUGCUUCUCCUUUUAUGAAUUAUGUUUGUAGACCACAUAGAACCACUAUUAUACAGGGAGAAAUGUUGUUGUUUUGUAUUGAUUAUUGCUUAGUUGGUGCUUAAUUUAUAGAAAAGGCUAUGCAUUUGUUUUUCUCUUUAAAAUUUUGAAAUAAAACAAUCAAAGAUUUAUAUAUUACAUAUUUCUCGCGUCUUCUCUCUUUCAGCUUGCCUUC
rnacentral:lncRNA from 1 species